rnacentral:rRNA from 1 species
UAAUGAUGGCCAGGCUGUCUCCACCCGAGACUCAGUGAAAUUGAACUCGCUGUGAAGAUGCAGUGUACCCGCGGCAAGACGGAAAGACCCCGUGAACCUUUACUAUAGCUUGACACUGAACAUUGAGCCUUGAUGUGUAGGAUAGGUGGGAGGCUUUGAAGCGUGGACGCCAGUCUGCGUGGAGCCAACCUUGAAAUACCACCCUUUAAUGUUUGAUGUUCUAACGUUGGCCCCUUACCGGGGUUGCGGACAGUGUCUGGUGGGUAGUUUGACUGGGGCGGUCUCCUCCCAAAGCGUAACGGAGGAGCACGAAGGUUAGCUAAUCCUGGUCGGACAUCAGGAGGUUAGUGCAAUGGCAUAAGCUAGCUUGACUGCGAGCGUGACGGCGCGAGCAGGUGCGAAAGCAGGUCAUAGUGAUCCGGUGGUUCUGAAUGGAAGGGCCAUCGCUCAACGGAUAAAAG